rnacentral:rRNA from 1 species
UUAAGCGACUAAGCGUACACGGUGGAUGCCCUGGCAGUCAGAGGCGAUGAAGGACGUGCUAAUCUGCGAAAAGCGUCGGUAAGGUGAUAUGAACCGUUAUAACCGGCGAUGUCCGAAUGGGGAAACCCAGUGCAAUUCGUUGCACUAUCGUUAACUGAAUACAUAGGUUAACGAGGCGAACCGGGGGAACUGAAACAUCUAAGUACCCCGAGGAAAAGAAAUCAACCGAGAUUCCCCCAGUAGCGGCGAGCGAACGGGGAGCAGCCCAGAGUCUGAAUCAGCUUGUGUGUUAGUGGAACGGUCUGGAAAGUCCGACGGUACAGGGUGAUAGUCCCGUACACCAAAAUGCACAGGUUGUGAACUCGAAGAGUAGGGCGGGACACGUGGUAUCCUGUCUGAAUAUGGGGGGACCAUCCUCCAAGGCUAAAUACUCCUGACUGACCGAUAGUGAACCAGUACCGUGAGGGAAAGGCGAAAAGAACCCCGGCGAGGGGAGUGAAAAAGAACCUGAAACCGUGUACGUACAAGCAGUGGGAGCACCUUCGGGUGUGACUGCGUACCUUUUGUAUAAUGGGUCAGCGACUUAUAUUCUGUAGCAAGGUUAACCGUAUAGGGGAGCCGCAGGGAAACCGAGUCUUAACUGGGCGUUAAGUUGCAGGGUAUAGACCCGAAACCCGGUGAUCUAGCCAUGGGCAGGUUGAAGGUUGGGUAACACUAACUGGAGGACCGAACCGACUAAUGUUGAAAAAUUAGCGGAUGACUUGUGGCUGGGGGUGAAAGGCCAAUCAAACCGGGAGAUAGCUGGUUCUCCCCGAAAGCUAUUUAGGUAGCGCCUCGUGAACUCAUCUUCGGGGGUAGAGCACUGUUUCGGCUAGGGGGUCAUCCCGACUUACCAACCCGAUGCAAACUACGAAUACCGAAGAAUGUUAUCACGGGAGACACACGGCGGGUGCUAACGUCCGUCGUGAAGAGGGAAACAACCCAGACCGCCAGCUAAGGUCCCAAAGUCAUGGUUAAGUGGGAAACGAUGUGGGAAGGCACAGACAGCCAGGAUGUUGGCUUAGAAGCAGCCAUCAUUUAAAGAAAGCGUAAUAGCUCACUGGUCGAGUCGGCCUGCGCGGAAGAUGUAACGGGGCUAAACCAUGCACCGAAGCUGCGGCAGCGACACUAUGUGUUGUUGGGUAGGGGAGCGUUCUGUAAGCCUGCGAAGGUGACCUGUGAGGGUUGCUGGAGGUAUCAGAAGUGCGAAUGCUGACAUAAGUAACGAUAAAGCGGGUGAAAAGCCCGCUCGCCGGAAGACCAAGGGUUCCUGUCCAACGUUAAUCGGGGCAGGGUGAGUCGACCCCUAAGGCGAGGCCGAAAGGCGUAGUCGAUGGGAAACAGGUUAAUAUUCCUGUACUUGGUGUUACUGCGAAGGGGGGACGGAGAAGGCUAUGUUAGCCGGGCGACGGUUGUCCCGGUUUAAGCAUGUAGGCUGAUUGUCCAGGCAAAUCCGGAUAAUCAAGGCUGAGGUGUGAUGACGAGGCACUACGGUGCUGAAGUAACAAAUGCCCUGCUUCCAGGAAAAGCCUCUAAGCAUCAGGUAACAUCAAAUCGUACCCCAAACCGACACAGGUGGUCAGGUAGAGAAUACCAAGGCGCUUGAGAGAACUCGGGUGAAGGAACUAGGCAAAAUGGUGCCGUAACUUCGGGAGAAGGCACGCUGGUGUGUAGGUGAAGUCCCUGCGGAUGGAGCUGAGACCAGUCGAAGAUACCAGCUGGCUGCAACUGUUUAUUAAAAACACAGCACUGUGCAAACACGAAAGUGGACGUAUACGGUGUGACGCCUGCCCGGUGCCGGAAGGUUAAUUGAUGGGGUUAUCCGUAAGGAGAAGCUCUUGAUCGAAGCCCCGGUAAACGGCGGCCGUAACUAUAACGGUCCUAAGGUAGCGAAAUUCCUUGUCGGGUAAGUUCCGACCUGCACGAAUGGCGUAAUGAUGGCCAGGCUGUCUCCACCCGAGACUCAGUGAAAUUGAACUCGCUGUGAAGAUGCAGUGUACCCGCGGCAAGACGGAAAGACCCCGUGAACCUUUACUAUAGCUUGACACUGAACAUUGAGCCUUGAUGUGUAGGAUAGGUGGGAGGCUUUGAAGCGUGGACGCCAGUCUGCGUGGAGCCAACCUUGAAAUACCACCCUUUAAUGUUUGAUGUUCUAACGUUGGCCCCUGACCGGGGUUGCGGACAGUGUCUGGUGGGUAGUUUGACUGGGGCGGUCUCCUCCCAAAGCGUAACGGAGGAGCACGAAGGUUAGCUAAUCCUGGUCGGACAUCAGGAGGUUAGUGCAAUGGCAUAAGCUAGCUUGACUGCGAGCGUGACGGCGCGAGCAGGUGCGAAAGCAGGUCAUAGUGAUCCGGUGGUUCUGAAUGGAAGGGCCAUCGCUCAACGGAUAAAAGGUACUCCGGGGAUAACAGGCUGAUACCGCCCAAGAGUUCAUAUCGACGGCGGUGUUUGGCACCUCGAUGUCGGCUCAUCACAUCCUGGGGCUGAAGUAGGUCCCAAGGGUAUGGCUGUUCGCCAUUUAAAGUGGUACGCGAGCUGGGUUUAGAACGUCGUGAGACAGUUCGGUCCCUAUCUGCCGUGGGCGCUGGAGAAUUGAGGGGGGCUGCUCCUAGUACGAGAGGACCGGAGUGGACGCAUCACUGGUGUUCGGGUUGUCAUGCCAAUGGCACUGCCCGGUAGCUAAAUGCGGAAGAGAUAAGUGCUGAAAGCAUCUAAGCACGAAACUUGCCCCGAGAUGAGUUCUCCCUGAGACUUUAAGUCUCCUGAAGGAACGUUAAAGACGAUGACGUUGAUAGGCCGGGUGUGUAAGCGCAGCGAUGCGUUGAGCUAACCGGUACUAAUGAACCGUGAGGCUUAACCUU